CCGCUGUGUUGACACGCUCUGCACCUUGCUCCUGCCCUCGCCUUUCACUCUUCUUAUCCCCCCAAUACCCCCAUCAUUCCUGACAGCUCCUGAGUUCCUGGAUUUCAUCAUCCCGCCCUGCAGGAUGCUCCCUUUUGUUCUGGGGAAGGCUGUCCCAGAAAGAGAGAAGGAGAUGGAGGUAGAUAUAAAGAUUGAUGCGGAGGAGGAGAUGGAAAUAGACGGAGAAGACCCUGGAGAGGAAGAGAUGAACGUGGAUGUGACUGAGGAAGAAGAGAUGGACGUGGAUAUGGAAGAUUUCACUGAGGACAUGGAUAUUGAUUAAAAAGGACUUAUGGACAUCAUGGAGAGAGAUGCCACCUUUUUGUACAUACGUUUUACACUUUGAUGUUGUCAUUAGGAUAUAGGUUUUAGGGCUUUUUGUCUUCUGUAAAUAUGUUACAUAUAUUUUUUGUUAGAUAGGUUCUUAUGUAUAUAUGUUCUAUCGAUUGUUGUUGUUACAAAUGUCCUUACAAUGUAAAUAUCUUCUGUAUUUUUGCUGCUGUUCUUCUGUAAUAAACAAAUUUUACUUUUCACACCCCAGUUCUCCUUGCAUUUGCUUCAGGCACAGGCAGCAUUUUGCAAAGUUGUGCUUUCCACUUGCUCCAGG